GAUGAACGCUAGCUACAGGCUUAACACAUGCAAGUCGAGGGGAAACGAUAUUGGAAGCUUGCUUCCGAUAGGCGUCGACCGGCGCACGGGUGAGUAACGCGUAUCCAACCUGCCCACCACUUGGGGAUAACCUUGCGAAAGUAAGACUAAUACCCAAUGACGUCCAUAGAAGACAUCUGAAAUGGAUUAAAGAUUUAUCGGUGAUGGAUGGGGAUGCGUCUGAUUAGCUUGUUGGCGGGGUAACGGCCCACCAAGGCGACGAUCAGUAGGGGUGCUGAGAGAAAGGUCCCCCACAUUGAGACUGAGACACGGUCCACACUCCUACGGGAGGCAGCAGUGAGGAAUAUUGGUCAAUGGGCGAGAGCCUGAACCAGCCAAUUAGCGUGCAGGAUGACGGCCCUAUGGGUUGUAAACUGCUUUUAUAAGGGAAUAAAGUGAGCCUCGUGAGGCUUUUUGCAUGUACCUUAUGAAUAAGGACCGGCUAAUUCCGUGCAAGCCGCCGCCGUAA
rnacentral:rRNA from 1 species